UUCUUGGAGAGUUUGAUCCUGGCUCAGAACGAACGCUGGCGGCGUGCCUAACACAUGCAAGUCGAGCGAGAACACCGCCUUCGGGUGGUUAGUAGAGCGGCAGACGGGUGAGGAACACGUGGAUAAUCUGCCCUUAGGUUCGGAAUAACCCAGGGAAACUUGAGCUAAUACCGGUUAAGACCACGUAACUUUGGUUAAGUGGUAAAAGCGGGGGAUCUUUUCGGAGACCUCGUGCCUAAGGAUGAGUCCGCGUCCCAUCAGCUUGUUGGUAGGGUAAUGGCCUACCAAGGCGAGGACGGGUAACUGGUCUGAGAGGAUGAGCAGUCACACUGGAACUGAGACACGGUCCAGACUCCUACGGGAGGCAGCAGUGGGGAAUAUUGCGCAAUGGGCGAAAGCCUGACGCAGCAACGCCGUGUGAGGGAUGAAGGCCUUCGGGUUGUAAACUUCUGUCAGCAGGAAAGAUGGG
rnacentral:rRNA from 1 species